rnacentral:rRNA from 1 species
GUGCCAGCCGCCGCGGUAAUACAGAGGCCUCGAGCGUUAAUCGGAAUCACUGGGCUUAAAGGGUGCGUAGGCGGAUCUUCAAGUGCCUUGUGAAAUCCCAUGGCUCAACCAUGGAAUUGCUCGGUAGACUGGGGAUCUUGAGGUAGGUAGGGGUCACUGGAACUCUAGGUGGAGCGGUGAAAUGCGUAGAUAUCUAGAGGAACGCCGAUGGUGAAGACAGGUGACUGGGCCUAUUCUGACGCUGAUGCACGAAAGCGUGGGGAGCAAACGGGAUUAGAAACCCCCGUAGUCC